rnacentral:rRNA from 1 species
UACGUAGGGUGCGAGCGUUGUCCGGAAUUACUGGGCGUAAAGAGCUCGUAGGUGGUUUGUCGCGUUGUCCGUGAAAACUCACAGCUUAACUGUGGGCGUGCGGGCGAUACGGGCAGACUGGAGUACUGCAGGGGAGACUGGAAUUCCUGGUGCAGCGGUGGAAUGCGCAGAUAUCAGGAGGAACACCGGUGGCGAAGGCGGGUCUCUGGGCAGUAACUGACGCUGAGGAGCGAAAGCGUGGGGAGCGAACAGG